AGGAUGAACGCUGGCGGCGUGCUUAGCACAUGCAAGUCGAACGAUGAAGCCGGAGCUUGCUCUGGUGGAUUAGUGGCGAACGGGUGAGUAACACGUGAGUAACCUGCCCUUGACUCGUGGGAUAAGCGUUAGGAAACGACG
rnacentral:rRNA from 1 species